rnacentral:rRNA from 1 species
AGUGAACGCUGGCGGUAGGCCUAACACAUGCAAGUCGAACGGCAGCACAGUAAGAGCUUGCUCUUACGGGUGGCGAGUGGCGGACGGGUGAGGAAUACAUCGGAAUCUACUUUUUCGUGGGGGAUAACGUAGGGAAACUUACGCUAAUACCGCAUACGACCUACGGGUGAAAGCAGGGGAUCUUCGCACCUUGCGCGAUUGAAUGAGCCGAUGUCGGAUUAGCUAGUUGGCGGGGUAAAUGCCCACCAAGGCGACGAUCCGUAGCUGGUCUGAGAGGAUGAUCAGCCACACUGGAACUGAGACACGGUCCAGACUCCUACGGGAGGCAGCAGUGGGGAAUAUUGGACAAUGGGCGCAAGCCUGAUCCAGCCAUACCGCGUGGGUGAAGAAGGCCUUCGGGUUGUAAAGCCCUUUUGUUGGGAAAGAAAAGCAGCAGGUUAAUACCCCGCUGUUCUGACGGUACCCAAAGAAUAAGCACCGGCUAACUUCGUG